rnacentral:misc_RNA from 1 species
AAGUCGUAACAAGGUUUCCGUAGGUGAACCUGCGGAAGGAUCAUUAUUGAAUUUCAAGAGGGAUUGGUUGUUGCUGGCUUUUCGAAGUAAUGUGCACACCGUCUCUUCUUAGUUCUCACAUUCACCUGUGCACCUCUUGUAGACCCGAGACAAACUUAUCGAGGAAACUCGGAUGUGAGGGUUGCGGGCUUCCUCAGAAGUCGGCUUCCCUCUAACUGACUCGCGUGUCUAUGUCUUUACAAACCCUUUAUAAAAAAUGUUAACAGAAUGUCAUACAACGGUUCGCCUAAAAAAGUGAGCUUUAAAUUAAUACAA